UUUUCUUUUCAUUUUAGCUUCCCCAAUUUGAAUUUCAGUAAAGCACUCUCUCCUCUCUCUUUCUCUCCCACUUCAACCGGUGUCUCUCUCGCCUCCACCACUCUUUCAACCUCCAUGCAUCCCUCAACCUCAUCGUCACCGCUGCUAGCAUACCUAACUUAGACCCAUUAGCAAAAUUGAAGAAAAAACAUCAACUCACCAUUUGAAGCCAAACCCACACGCCUCGUAGAGCGCUUUUUAGACAUAGAUUAGAGAGCAAGGUUGGGUUUUGGAGAGAAUUGGGUGUAGAGAAGUUGAUGAAGCUCUGUCUUCACGGAAAUGGCAUAGCCACUAGCCCGAAUCUUCGGUUCCAACGAUACUAGCCUUUUUCUCAUCGAAAAUCCCUAAAAUCCCCGCUGGUACAGUUAUCGCCAGUGCCGACUAGAUUUAUCUGCGAUUCCUAGACUGCUUCCUACAUUGGACUUCGCAAGGAGGUUGAAUGGCAUGAUUAUAGGUAUGCUAUUCUUCUUUUGAUCACUGAGAGUGAGAAAAGGCGAGUGCUGGAGGGAUUAGUGAAGACCAUGAAGCUGGCUUUGUUCAUGAUUUUUUUUUUUUGAAGAAAUUAUUCAUGAAAUUUUAGAUAUAAAGAACAUGACUCAUAUCUAUUUUAGUUGGGAUCAUAAUCAAGAUGUAGCUAUUUUGGCUUUCUUGAAACACUGAAAUCACAUAUUUAUAUUGUGAAGCUAAUUUAGCUAAGCUAUAAAGCCUUUUUGUUUUGGGUUU